GGGGAAUAUUGGACAAUGGGCCACAAGCCUGAUCCAGCAAUUCUGUGUGCACGAUGAAGGUCUUCGGAUUGUAAAGUGCUUUCAGUAGGGAAGAAUAAAUGACGGUACCUACAGAAGAAGCGACGGCUAAAUAUGUGCCAGCAGCCGCGGUAAUACAUAUGUCGCAAGCGUUAUCCGGAUUUAUUGGGCGUAAAGCGCGUCUAGGCGGUUUACUAAGUCUGAUGUGAAAAUGCGGGGCUCAACUCCGUAUUGCGUUGGAAACUGGUAGACUAGAGUACUGGAGAGGUGGGCGGAACUACAAGUGUAGAGGUGGAAUUCGUAGAUAUUUGUAGGAAUGCCGAUGGAGAAGUCAGCUCACUGGACAGAUACUGACGCUAAAGCGCGAAAGCGUGGGGAGCAAAC
rnacentral:rRNA from 1 species